UACUGGCCUCCGGUGAGCAAUAGUCGAACAACUGUUGUAAACUGUUUGGCAGCGGCGUUAUUUUAAACCUAAGUAUCCGUGUAAAAAUCAUAAAAUCUGUAAUUUGAGGAUUGAGAAUUUGAGAUCAUCAUCUAGAAAUGGAAGCAGUUACACUAAUAUAGAGACGAAACGCUUACAUAUAUAAUUGAUAUCUGCUGCGAUUGGAUGACUAGAAACUUGAGCGCUUUCCACGUACCAGGAUGAAUAUCUCGAGCAUAAUCGAAAGUCUUAACGACAUUACGGAAGACGCACCAGCAUGGAAAACCUCUCAACCAAAAUUUAGCGAUGAAGUGCGUUUUAUCAUGGAUAAGAGCGAUGACGACACUGACUUCAAUAAUUACUUUCCUUUUAAUCCCAUCGAAGUGACGUGCAGUCGGAAAAAGUUAUCGGCUGCAUCGCCAUACUUCCAGGCCAUGUUUGAGGCCAAGAAUUUCACAGAAUCGGCACAGACUGAGAUCAAACUGCAAGUCCCGCCGUAUUCCAGCGCUAGUGCCGUUGCUCGCCUUGUCAGAUAUUACAUGGAGACGCAGGAGCUGGUGCCACGAUAUCGCACUGGUUUAGACGAACCACUCAAUAAGAGCAAUGUGGUGUGCGUAUACGCUGCGGCGGAUUAUUACGGAAUGGAAGCUGUAGUCGCUAAAUGUAUUGUGUUUAUCUCGAAGUACGGAGUGACGGUCGCCAGAUUUUUACGCUUAAUUCAGUUCCAUGUGAAACAUCCGCGUACAGACGCGCAUGACAUUAUUACGCGGAUGAUCGGCAGUAUGUUUCCAGCUUUGACUAAAUGUCCAGGUUUUUGUGAACUGGACGCGGAAGAACUUCGUUUUUGUGCUGCAGCAGCCGUUCCUGAUUGUGACCUCCGAAAUGGACAUUUUCGAAGCGUUUCAUAUUUGGAUCGAACGCAAUCCAGAUACCGGUAUACAAGCUCUGCUGAUGCUACUCCAAGAAAUUCGAUGGUCGUCGCUAACAAUUCAGCAACGACAAUGGUGUCACGCUACGAUCCAAGAACUACUUCCGACGAGGAACACGCCACAAUCUACGAGUAUGAUCUGCGCUUACACACCGAGCGAUCCGAAUCCUGGCCGUACGACAUCAACCACGUGCUCCCCUCCGCCAGUUCCACACAGUCCAUCACCUGCAAUUUCAUUACCGGACUCACAGGGACAUAUGCGGUGGUCUAUUGCGACAAAGACGUAACGUGUCCAGUUGCGUUGCUCCAGCUGGAGCGCCGUACCGGUGCCGGUCCAUUCUUUCGGUUCUCCCGGGUUCUUGAUUGUGAAUGGAAAUGCUGCGCUGGAGAUGCGGCGACCUUAAGUCUGCAAGAGUACGAAUUUGAGUUUGAUGCUUUUGGUGGACAGACCCAAGUGGUGAUGCACAACCGGCACUACGGACUUUACACCAUUAAUACCGACUAUUUUGAAGUCCAUGAUGUGGGUACGCGGAACGACAGGCGGCGUUUGCCUCUACCACCCUUUGGUUUUGUGGACCGACGGCAUGGUUGCAUACGCGCUUCGCUUGAAACGUGUAGCGGAUACAUUUUCCUAUACACCGGGUGAAUUAACGCAUACAACGUAGUUGCUGCGUGUGGAUUUGUGUAGAUACAGUAUGCGUAACUUCUCGCAAAAUUUUUUUGGAUAUUAAUACGAUGCAAUUGCACAGCUGUGAGUGUAACGUGUAUGAUAUCGAUUCCCUGUGAAAAAGAGCUGGUAGAGUUUGCAUAUCAACACUAAUCGGUUGAUCAGGCCGUCACCUUAUCCGGAUCGUGCACCCACCACUUUGCGAAAUUCGACACUGCCACCAAGAAAUGGGAGGAGUAUGCACCACCUCAGCCAAGCCGUUGGGGUUGUAGCAUGAUUGAGUUGGAUGGUUUCCUGUACAUGAUAGGCGGUUAUAAUAUUGGUGAGGAAAUCGCAGACUCUGAAAUCCACUCGGAGAACGGCAGCGAAGAGGGGGAUCACCCUUCAGCAAAUUGCGAUCGCUUUAAUCUACAGCGUCUCUGCUGGGAAUCAGUUGCUUCGUUGCAGUGUCCCCGUUCGUAUCCCAGAGUAUGCGUGGUUGAUGGUCAGCUUGUAGCCGUAGGAGGAAAUAUCCCUCCCGACCUUUCUGUUAACCAUUUCAUGGAAUGCUACAAUGCAGUAAAGGAUCAAUGGACAAGUCCUGAAUUUGCCUGGCCAAGAGCGAAAUGCACUGGUCAGAAAGCCGGCUUUGACGACAUACAAGCAUUCGUUUUAGAAUCAACAUGUUUGUCUUUGUAAAAUGUUGUUAUUGUGGCGGUUUACCGGACCGAAAUCUGUCUGAAAGUAUCCGGCCAGGAUUCCAAAAUCGAAAUUCUGAAGUGCAGGAACUUGGUGCUUGUCCGACAAACAAUUUUGUUGGCGGGUUCAUUAUCGGUUUACCAAAAUUUAUUAGGUUAAGCUAUUCUACGCUUGUUGCGUUUCAAGUUAAUUAAUGCACCUAUAUACCGCGGUACAUACCAUACACCGCAGUGCAAAUCUGUAAUAAUAAAAG